AGGAAAAUUCUUCCUAACAUACAGAAGACACUUUAAAGAUGUAUGUUAACAGCUUUUCUAUGGACAGUGCUGCCCCUCAGCAUUUUGAAGCUACUCUUCCAUUGUCUUCUGGUGUACAGUGCUGCUGAGAAGUUGUGUCAUUCUUUGUUCCCUUGUGGGUGAUCAGUUUGGGUUUUUUUUUUCUUCUCCCACUUACUUUGAGAUCUUCUAUCUUCAGCAUUUUGCAGUUUCUUUUAUGAUGUGACUAGGUUGCGACUAAUCUCUUUAUCCUGCUUGUGACUCAGUAUGGUUCUUCAAUCUGUGGAUUCCCAUCUUUUUUUCCGUUCUGGAAAGUUAUCGCCCAUUGUAUCUUUGUGUGCUGACUCUUCCUCAUUCUCUGGAUUCUUCCCUUCUGGGACUCUAGUUGGACCCACUGUUAGACUUUUCUGGUUUCUUCUUUGUCUGUUUUCUUAACUCUUCACUGUCUCUGUCCUAGACUCUCAUCUUCCAGAACCAUUCCUCUGUCUUCACUAAUUCUCCCUACACCUGCUGUCCAGCCUAUUUAGUUUUGAAAUUUCUACCGCCUCUGUUUUUAUUUCCAGCAGUUCUCUUUUGUACAAGUAGCCUUGUUCCUUUUUCAGUUUCUCUCAAGCACUGUGCUAAUAUUCUUACUUCAUGAUUCCUUUUCAGCAGGCUGUCUCGAGUUCAGGGGCUGCCAAUCCUCCUGUGUAUGGUGCUCCCUCUUGAUAAGCCUUCUCUCCUCCUGGAGAUGGGGAAACUGAGGCAUGAGGUGGAUCAGCAACUUUCCCAGGAUUACGAAGCAUCCAAAUGUUGCCACGGAAGCAGAUCCUGGUCCGUUUGGUUCAACCACACUCCUAAUGUCCCCCCCUUGUUCUGAACAUGCUCUUGCAGUCACAGAGAAGAAAGUCUACACACACACAUUUGCAUUCAAGGGCUGCAGUGAUUAUUGGCCUAGCAACUGACGUGGCUUCUGUGCUUGUCACCAGGCUGGAGGUUCUGCAACAUGAUUUUUUUUAAUGGUAUACAACAUGAUGAUUCAAUACAUAUAUUACAACAUGAUUACCACAAUCACGUAAAUGAAGAUAUCCAUCAUCUCAUCUUAUAAAUAAAAAUUUGGACCUUGUAAUCAAACUGAGGUUUUUGGAUUCCAAGCCUGUGUUUUAUCACUAUGUGUGCUUUCCAUUUUACGGCCCUUCCCAGACUCCUUUGUUCUCAGCCUUUUCCUUAGCUCUUCCUUCCCCACCUCCUACCUGUCCUGUGCCUCAAUCCCCCAGGCCCUCGCUUGCUCUCUCCUGGGUGACAAUGGAUUCUGAUCUUGGCUUACAAGGGAUCCCACUGAUCUGGCGUGUCUCCUGGUGACAGCGUGCCUUAACUCUAUGUUAGCACACACCUGCCCCCUGCAAGCCCUGACAUUUUAGUGAAAGCAUGGGUUUCUGGCUUGUGCUCUGGCUUGUGCUGAGACACAUCAGAAAAGAAAGAGGACAUUUUUUUAAAUAAAGGGAAAGUCAGCCUCAGUAAUGGAGAGUUAAUCUGGAUGCUCAAAUUCCUUUCUAGAAUCGCCCAUGUGUUGCCUCUUCUAGAGGCUGUGGUUUCUGCAUCUGUUUGGAGGCUGUGGUCCCUACAUCUAUUCCAGACUCCUUGCCUCUAUGUGUGUUCCUGCUUCUCUGCCUUCCCAGCUUUCCAUCCAAAUCCUACCCAUUCUUCAAGACCCAGUGCAAGUCUGUUCUCCGUGAAACAUAUGUGCUUGUGCGAGUCUCUACGUUUCCCUGAAUUGAGGGCUGUUUGAGGUUAGGACUUGCAAGGAUUCAUCUCCUAAGUGUGGAUUGCUUCUGAAAGUUGUUUCUGGGUGGUCACUAAAGCCUUUUAGUUCAUGGGCUGUUGACACGACUGUCCGUGGAACUGCUGACGUUUGAGUGGUCCUUGCCUGUGUCUUCGCUACUCAAGACUGCCCACAAACCUGGUGGAAGGUAUUUCAUAUUCUUGUCUGACCUCCAUCCUUUGCUUCUUCUGGGAACAUCACAAUUUUCCUUUGGCAUAGUAGGGUGGGUGGGCCAAAGCUGGCCCAUCAGCUGCUUUCCUUUCUCAAACCCCGUGAGCUGUUCCUACAGAGCAGCUUACUCAGUCCAAGAUGACUUGGUCCCGGGGCUAAUGUAGAGCUAUUAAAAAGAACAGAAGCUCUCUAGUCUACUUGAAUGAAAGCCAGGAUUCUCUGGGAGUUCAACAUGUGAGCACAGCAAAAAGGAACCCAACCCAGAGGAAAGUAGAUGGAUAGUUAGCAAGAGAGAAAUUGUCUGAUUCCUGAUGGCACCUGAUCUGAAUGACACAUCCAGUCAGACCCAGCCUUGACAUCUGCAUUUCCCUGAGGCAAUGAACAUCCCUUUGCUGAAGCCUACUGGUCUUGGGAUUUUUCUCAGUUAGAACUCAAGGAGUCCCAACAGAUUCAUCCCCCCAACAAGUGGCGUUUCCUAAUACUGUGUUGUUACACUGAUGCUCUAACCCCAUGCCUUCUAGAACAAAGCACUUCUCAUCCCCAAACAUCAAUGACAAAUGCUAUCAUUCUUGCUUGUCUUCUUCCUUUUCUCCCACAGAGGUUAGGCAAGUAAGCAGGAGCCUAAAAUAUGGUCCUGAAAGCACUGGCUUUGGACUUGUCCACAGAACAGCAUUUUCGUGCUUAGAAGGAAUUGAGUGUGGUUCUCAAGAAGUUUGUAAAACAGAACCCUAUGCACACACGGCUGGUCCUCAGAGGAGAGGUGGGUGGGAGGAUGGGUGAUACAGGUGUUGGGGGUUAAGCACCGGGUGACAUAGGGAAGUGUUGAAUCACUAUAUUGUACACCUGCAACUAAUAGUGUACUGUAUGUUAACUAUCCUGGAAUUUAAAUACAAACUAAAAA